AAGUCGGUUCGACUAGACCCGCUUUUACCCAUACCCGUUUUUGAAGGUAUAAAACCCUAGUCACGCGCAAAUUCAAAUUCAAACUAGAAUUCUGAAAUCAGUCAUUUGGUACUGCCCUACUGCAAUAUAAUCCCCUCAAAGCCUCUCCGGAGAUUGCGAAUGGAUUUUAGGGCUAGGGCACAAUCGGGCAUGGCGCACAGGUUGCUUAGAAAUCCUGAGGCAGAUGGUUGCGAAAGCUCCGAAUUUCCCAUAUCCUGCGUGUCUUGCUUCGGCAACUACCCAGAAUUCGCACACUAAAAGCAGAGUAUGAAAAGGGGUGCAAUAUUUGUACUCGGCCCUUCACGGUUUUCAGAUGGAAUCCUGGUCAUGAUGCAAAAUAUAAAGAAACAGUUAUUUGCCAGACUUGCUGUAAGUUGCAAAAUUUGUGUCAAGUUUGCCUUUUGGAUUUGGAAUAUGGACUGCCAGUACAAGUUCGAGAAACUGUUAUGUCCACCAAUUCUAACGAUGCUAUUCCCAAGGGCGAUGUCAACAGGGAGUAUUUUGCUGAGGAGCAUGACCGCAGGAGUAUAAGAUAUUUGAUAUUUUGAAUUUAAAAUUUAAGUUCGUGGUGGGAUCAGUAGUCUUAUUUACAGGCACGAGAUGCCCAUAACUGGGGAGUUGUCAUUUUUAUCCAGGUAAACAGAUCCGGAUACAAUGCUCCAGAUGCAGGUUAGAAGCUUGUAUUCCUUGUGUAGAAAAACAAUUUAAUACCAAACUUACUUUUCCCAAAGUUAGCCUGAUUUCUAUUUCCAAUAGAAUUUCCGAAAGAACUAUCCUUAAUCUUUAGGAUGAGAUUCUUAAAAAUAAAUUUUUAGACUGAAAAGUUUGCAAUUUUUUUGAUAAAUCUUUAUUUUGUUUUCUAAACUUCUGAUCUCUCUGAAAUAAAAAUUAAUUUGGUCUUGGAGAUCUGUGCAAUCGGCUCAAAAUUUUCUUUCUGGGGAGGAAGGAGAAUACUUUACUUCGAGAUGAAUAAAGUAAUUUUCACCAAGAUGUUUUCUAGCUGCAUCAAGGGCCGAUGAUAAAUAUGUGAAUAUUUCCCAAAAGGGUUUUGGGAAAUGGGCCAUCUCAAUGUUUGUAAACACCAGGGUUAAGUCCUUGAUAAAUGACGUAAAAAUCUUUUUUCUUUUGGUUUUGAGGUGUUUGGGCAAAGAACUCUGUGAGACAAUUUAAAACUGAAAUGAAACUCCCAGUAUCAAGAUGGGAACGUUAUCAAUUGUCUAAAAGAUAAAACUGCUCAUUUGAAAGCGCUGGAGCCAAAUGCUCUAAUGGUUUAAAACUGGCUAAAGAUAGGGGGGUAAGAUCAAGGAACUUUGAACUGAACUGAAUUUUAGGAUGGUUAGGUGAUCUCGGGAAAGAUGGAUUCCGAGAUAGUUUAGAUCUGGGAGUCUGUUUAUCGGCCAUGGAAAAUAUAGUGAUAAUGAAAAAUAUAGUGAUAAAUAAUUAAACCUGCAACUGUAUAGAAGAUUAAAAAAAGGAUUGAAAAUAGGCAAACAAAAGAAAGACAACAAUAUUUGCAAGAAGUUUAAGAAGAAGAAGGAUUAUGAUCUCUUGACAAAUAUUGAUAUAGAAGAGGAGGUUGGUAUGAAGGCAUGUAGAAAGAUUAUGAAACUAGGGGCUAUUUAUAACCCAGAAAUCUUAACUGUUAAGUCUUGAAAAUAUCUGUUUUUGUUCUUUUUCUGGUAAAUCUGAAAUAUCAUUCAUUUUUUUUUUUUUGAAAUUCAAAAUAAAAGAUUUGCGAGGAAAUUGUUUUUUCCUUUUAAAUAUUCGAAUUUUAUUUCUGGAAAAAUAGAUAUUCUAUCUAAAAAAAUAGUUCAUCGUCUACGAGAUAUUUUUUUCUCGUCGUUUAAUUUUGAAAAGAAAGUAACAAUGGCUUGACAAUCUGUUCUAACUUUAAUUUUUUUUUAUUAAAAAGGUGGAUAGAAAAAGAAUUCAAUAUGUAGACAAUUGCUAAAAGCUCUUGAUCUAUGCUGGAAUUGAUUUCCUUUUCUUUAAAGUUACUUGCUGUAUCCACAUAGCUUUUCUUCUGAUAAUGAGUGCUUGUAGGGCAAAAUAAGCAUUAUUGCUCCACAUCCUGAGUUGUUGCCAUCUGUCUACAAAAUAAUAAAGUCAGUAGGUAAAGGAAUAGUAAGCUCUGGUAAAUGCUUUACCUUUUUUUUAAGGCGUUUGACUAGAUUUCUGUCUUGCUGAUUAAAAUAUUUUAUCCAAUUCUGUGUUGUUUUUGAGUAAAGAGGUUCUGCAAGCUUUCCAAGGUCUUGAAUAAAUCUGCGAGAAUAAUUAAGUAGGUCCAAGAACUAUUGGAGGCCUUUAAUAUUGUAGGUAAAGUCAUUUGGCAUAUUAAGAAUUUUUUAGCCUAUAUGAGGCUGCAUUUUAAUUUUUCCUUUUCCUAAAGCAACUCCUAAGAAAUUAAUAUGUGUCUUAAAUAAUUCCAUCUUUGUCUUACUGAUUAUUAUCCCAUGCUUUUUAAAUUUCUGUAGAACUCUUCUAAGGUGAUGUCGACGGUCUUUUUUAGUUUUACUAAACACAAGUAUAUCAUCUACAUAAAAGAAAGCUUAAAAACUUUUAUUGCAUAAAAGAAAGCUUACACACUUAGUAAAUACACACUAAGAAAUACAUGGAAGAAGAAAAGGAAGAAGUAGAAGUUGCAAAGAGUACAAGUGUUUUUCUCUUUUGUGUUCUCUGUCUAAGGGGGAUGAUAGGUUUUUUCGAUGAGCGUAAAAUGAAAAUUUUCACACUAUAUAUAGAAAGGAAAAGUAUCAACUGAUGAGUUCGGGUACAAUCUUUGGCCCCAUCGACAACUCAAAAGAAAGAUAAGAUUCCAAAUUUUUACACACCGAAAGUAAUAAAGCUAACCGACACUUAUCAUCACAGUUUUUUUUUCCACGUCGAAAGUAGUGAUAAAUGAUGAUAAUUACAAGACUCCAAAAUAAGAAAAGGCACACCAAAAGAAGAUGUUGUUGCCGUAGAAGACUUAUCUUUCCAUCAUGUUUUUAAUAUUUUUCUCGGCCACAGAAUUAAAAGAUGCUGGAGAGAUAAGGUCAUCCUGUGGAUCUUGAGCUGUAACAUGUUCCAUAAGUGAGGCAUCUAAUUUUUUAUCUUCAUCUUCUGAGUUUGGAACAUAGAUUGGAUCAAUGUUGAUGUGCUAGGAGGUCUUAAUAUUUUUUAAAUCUGCCACAAUCUUGUUAAGUUGAUCAAUCUGAGUUCUCAUGGUGUCAACAGGAGUAGGGCAAUAUCUUCUGUAGGUUUCUUUGGGUUGGUCUUUUCUUUUUUAACUUCUUCAAUAACUUGUUUAUUUUUAGAUGAUGAAGAAAAUGUUUGUUUUUCUGAAGAAAAAACAAGGGGAGCCCAUGCAACAAGGGUUGGUUGCUGAAACUGGUGAGGAAAAUAAUAUGGGUAUAAAGGAAACUAGGGAAACUAGGGAGGGGUUGUGAUUUUUGGGAAAUCACACACAUAAAUGGAUUUGAUAUCUCUUUACCACUAGCCGUUUGCUAUGGACUAGGUAGGCCAAUUUUCGAGGAAGACCCACUUUCCAUUUUUUGUUUUAAAAUCUCUGCAUUUUGAUUUUUUAAAAAUAAAUUUUCAGACUGAAAAGUUGGCAGAGUUUUUGAUAAAUUUUUAUUGUCUUUCUAAACUUCUAAUGUCCCUGAAAUAAAAAUUAAUUUGCUCUUGGAAAUCUAGGCAAUCGGCGCAAAAUUUCAUUUAUGAGGAAAAGGAGAAUACUUUAAUUCGGGAUGAAUAAAGUAAUUUUCACUAACAUGUUUUCUGGCUGCAUCAAGGGUUGAGGAUAAAUCUGUGAAUCUUUUCCAAAAGGGUUUUGGAAAAUGGGCUAGCUGUUGGACUGCAUCAGUCCAAUGUUUGUAAACACCAAGGUUACGUCUUUGAUAAAUAACGUAGAAAUUUUUUUUCUUUUGGUUCAGAAGUGUUUAGGCAAAGAACUCUAUAAGACAAUUUAAAAUUGAAAUGAAAUUUCCAAUAUCAAGAUGGAAACUCCACAAAUUGUCUAAAAAACAAAACUGCGCAUUUGAAAGGGCUAGAUAGUAUUCGCAUGCCCUUUUGGACAUUUUGAGUGGCUUGUCAUGCCUUUCAGCCUAAAGAAUGCUCCAGCUAAAUUCCAAAGAAAAAUGGACAGAGUUUUUCCUAAACAGGAAUUUUCAAACUUUUGUGCAGUUUAUGUUGAUGAUAUACUUGUGUUUAGUAAAACUAGAGAAGACCAUCAACAUCACCUUAGAAGAGUUCUACAGAAAUUUGAAAAGUACGGGAUAAUAAUCAAUUUAUUCAAAACCUUAGAAAGCUUGCAGGACCUUUUUACUCGAAGAUAACACAGAAUGGGACAAAAUACUUUAGUCAGCAAGACAGGAAUCUAGUCAGACUCCUUAAAGAAAUUACAGAUGGCAACAACUCAGGAUGGGGAGCAAUAAUGCUUGCUUUGCCCUAUGAGCAUUCAUUAUCAGAAGACAAGCUAUGUGGAUACAGCUCAGGUAACUUUAAGGAAAAAUGAAUCAAUUCCAGCAUAGACCAAGAGCUUUUAGCAAUUGUCUACGUAUUGGAUUCUUUUUCUAUCCACCUUUUUAAUAAAGAAAAAAUUAAAGUUAGAACAGAUUGUCAAGCCAUUGUCACUUUCUUUUCAAAAUUAAACAACGAGAAAAAGAUGUCUCGUAGAUGAUGCAUUACUUUUUUUAGACAGAAUAUCUAUUUUUCUAGAAUAAAAUUCGAAUAUUUAAAAAGAAAAGACAAUUUCCUCGCAGACCUUUUAUCUUGAAUUUCAAAAGAAAAAAAUACAUGAUAUUUCAGAUUUACAAAAAAAAAAAAAAAAAACAAAAAAACAAAAACAGAUAUUUUCAAGACUUAACAAUUAAGAUUUUUGAGUUAUAAAUAGUUCCUAGUUUUAUGCUCUCUCACUAUGCCUUCAUAACAGCCUCUUCCUCCUCUAGAUCAAUAUUUGUCAAAAGAUUAUAAUCCUUAUUCUUCUUCAAUUUCUUGCAAAUAUUGUUGUCUUUCUUUUGUUUGCCUAUUUUCAAUCUUUCUUUUAAUCUUCUGUACAGUUGCAGAUUUAGUUAUUUAUCACCAUAUUUUCCAUAGUCGAUAAACAGCCUCCUAAACCUAAGCUCUCUCAGAAUCCAUCUUUCACGAGAUCACCUAACUAUCUUAAGAUUCAGCUCAGUUCAAGGUCCCUUUGACGUUAUCCCCCUAAUCUCCAGCGAGUUUUAAACCAUUAGAGCAUUUGGCUCCAGCCCUUUCAAAUGAGCAGUUUUGUCUUUAGACAAUUUGUGGCAUUUCCAUCUUGAUACUAGGAAUUUCAUUUCAGUUUUAAAUUGUCUCACAUAGUUCUUUGCCCAAACACCUCUGAACCAAAAGAAAAAAGAUUUCUACGUCAUUUAUCAAGGACGUAACCUUGGUGUUUACAAAUAUUGGGCUGAUGCAGUCCAAUAGAUAGCCCAUUUUCCAAAGCCCUUUUGGGAAGGAUUCACAGAUUUAUCCUCAACCCUUGAUGCAGUCAAAAAACAUAUUGGUGAAAACUACUUUAUUCACCCCGAGGUAAAGUAUUCUCCUUCCUUAGAAAAUUUUUUUUGCGCAGAUCUUCAAAACCAAAUUAAUUUUUAUUUCAGGGAAAUCAGAAGUUUAGAAAAACAAAAUAAAGAUUUAUCAAAAACUCUGCAAACUUUUCAGUCUGAAAAUUCAUUUUUAAGAAAUCAAAAUGCAGAGAAUUUAAAACAAAAAAUGGAAAGUGGGUCUUCCUCUAAAAUUGGCCUACUUAGUCCACAGCAAACGGCGAGUGGUAAAGAGACAUCAAAUCCGUUUAUGGGUGGUGAUUUCCCAAAAAUCACAACACCUCUCCAGUUUCCCCAGUUUCCUUUACACCCAUAUUAUUUUCCUUACCAGUUUCUGCAACCAACCCCUGUUGCAUGGGCUCUCCUGUUUUUGCUUCAGAAAAACAAACAUCUUUUACAUCAUUUAAAAAUAAACAAGCUAUUGAAGAAGUUGAAAAAGAAAAAGACCAAUCCAGAGAAACCUACAGAAGAUAUCGCCAUACUCUUGUUGACAACAUGGAAACUCAGAUUAAUCAAUUUAACAAGAUUGUGGCAUAUUUAAAAAAUAUUAAGACUUUUCAACAGAUCAACAUUGAUCCAGUCUAUGUUCCAGACUCAGAAGAUGAAGAUAAAAAAUCAGAUGCCUCACUUAUGGAACAUGUUGCAGCUCUAGUUCCACAGGGUGACCUUAUCUUUCCAGCAUCUUUUGAUUCUGUGGCCGAGAAAAAUAUUAAGAACAUAAUGGAAGGAUAAGUCUUUUACGGCAACAACAUCUUCUUUUGGUGUGCAUUUUCUUAUUUUGAAGUCUUGUAAUUAUCAUCCUUUAUCACUACUUUCCACGUGGAAAGAAAAACUGUGAUGAUAAGUGUCGGUUUGCUUUAUUGCUUUCGGUAUGUAAAAGUUUUGAAUCUUAUCUUUCUUUUAAGUUGUCGAUGGGGCCCAAAGAUUGUACCCGGAUUGAUUAGUUGAUACUUUUCCCUUCUGUAUAUAGUGUGAAAAUUUUCAUUUUAGGAUCAUCGAAAAAACCUAUCCUCCCCCCUAGGCAAAGAACACAAAAGAGAAAAACAUUUGUACUCUUUACAACUUCUACUUCUUCCUCUUUCUCCAUGUAUUUCUUAAUGUGUACUUACUAAGUGUGUAAGCUUUCUUUUAUGCAAUAAAAGUAUUUUACAAAGUUUUUAAGUUACUUUCGGUGCUUUUCCCAUAGGGAAAACCCUUGUAAGGAUCCCCAUCCAAAAAUCAAAAAAUGUUUAUUUUAAUUUUAUUAUGGUUAAUUGUUAUCUUUUUGUAUCUAUUUUAUCUCAAAUCCUUUUAUGGUUAUCUGUCAAAAACCUCAUAUAGAGAGGACAUAUCUUUUUACAAACCCUAGUAAGAGAGUUAUCCAAAAAUGAGAGACAUAGUCCUAAUCAUAGAAAUCCGGCCAGGAACUAAGUCAGGCAAUGGUCCAGAAGGUGCGCUAGGGCAAACGAAUGGUAAGUCCCGUUUAGCACAAGUGACUGGCGGUGCAUUCCAUAUUGGAGGUAUUGGAGUGGUUUGUCUCUUAUCUAAAGAUAAUUCUACUGAAGCGGUAUAGAAAAGGUAUGGUAUGACAACGUAAAAAUAUAUAUAUAUAUAUAUAUAUAUAUAUAUAUAUAUAUAUAUAUAUAUAUAUAUAUAUAUAUUGGGGAUAUUACUUUAUAUUUAAAGGAAGGUAGGAGUACCUUGGGAUAUUACAACUUAUUGUCUUCACCUUUUAUAAAAAUGUCAACUGUUCUCCAACAAAUCCUUGAAAAAUUCGAACUUUUUAAUUUUUUAGAUCGUGAUUCUAUUUUUACUUAUAUAGCCCAACUAGAUAAAGAAAUUAAAGAUACUAUAGAGUUCCAUAAAGAUCAUCAUAUUGGUUUUACUCCAGAAUAAAUCACAACUUGGUGUGAUUGUAAAAAUUUCGACCUCAGAAGUACUCUUUCUAAUAUUUUAACUUUUGAAUUUGAUAUAUAAGUUUUCCGCAGAUUUUAUUUACAGGUAUCACAGCGUAUCUCUGACAGUCAUUGUUUGUGUGAGCAUAAACUCGCAAGAGAGCACCCCCUCCCAUUUUGGUAUCAAAGCCAAGUUUCGGUUCUGAGCAUUAAAGUCAACAUGGAUUUCAGACAGAUUGAAGAGUUACAGCAAUUAGAAGAUCUUCAUUGGUUAGAUCUAGGAUUACAUAAUAUUCCUAGACAGACUCAUACUAGCCACAGAAAAGGUAAUCUCCUUAGAAUUACUUGUAAUUUUCCACAAGAAAAUUAUAAGCAUCAUUUACAUUCUUCAGAAUUUCCUUUACUUAAUUCUUUAUCAGAUUUGCUUAUUAAUUUUGGUAGAACACAGCAAGAACAAUAUCAAUAUUUUCUUGGUAUUAUUCAGAAUCAUUCUGAAAAAUUACAAAAUAUUGAAAAAGAGUUAAAAUUAAUUAGAAUAAAUCAAGAUUAUCUCAAAUCUUCUACAGCUAAUAUUUCUUCUCCUUCUUCAGUUUAUUUUGACAAAUUUUCCAGUAAACAGGAAUUAGAAGAAGUAAUCUCAGCAAUUCAGAAUCAGCCAAAGGAUAUUGAAGUCAAGACAGAAAAGCUUCUUGAAGAUAUUUCUUCUAAAACAGAAAUUUUUGAACAAAAGAUUUCAGAAGUCAAAAAUCUCAUUUCAGAACUUACAAGGCUUUAUCUUAGUUAAUGACAGAUCCCUCUCUUGCUCUUUAUAAAGUUCAUCCAAAUUACAAAGAGUCAUUAGACUUAGUUUUAGAAUUACUUGAAGAUUCAGGUAUUGCAAAAGACCAUCUUGGUAUUUCAGUUUUUAAACCACCAGCUUAUAACGAUUGUGUUCAGAUUUCUCAAAAUAAUCAAAUUAUUAUUUUACUCAUUGAUAUUUUGAACAAGCUUGAAGAGCAAAAUAGACUUUUAGAGGACAAAGUAAACUUUUUGAGUAACAAAGUCUUGAAAUUAGAAGCAGUUGCAGAUACCCUCUAGAAGGUUGACUAGAAAUUAAGCCAGCCUAGACAAGAAGAAACAGCAGGUAUAACUAAUAAGUUAUCUACUAUUGUUAGUGAUCUUGAUAAAAUACAAGUUACAGAAGGUAAGGUUACAAAGAAGAAAGGAUUCUCAAACGAAUUCUUAGUAUGGCGGCCUCCUCUAGCAGACAAAACUCAACCCAAAGAUCAGGUAUAAGAACAGAGGAUGAUAUAAACAGGUUAAGAACAACUCUUGAUAGAAGAGAGAUAGAUGGAAGAUCCAAAUCUACCAGAAGGAAUCCAUCUCUUAUGGAUAGAAUGCUAAGACAUGCAGACAAAUUAGGACAGGAAGUACAAUUAGAUGAAUUUAUUGAUAUUGAUGCAGAUUAUGAUCUUUUUCAAGCUCAUAAAAUAAAUUUACUUAACUCUAGAGUUUUAUAUAGUGCAGGAAUGAUGCCAUUCAAAACAGGCUUCUAUGUUCAUAACAGAACUCUACCUAUUAGUUGUCUUGGUGGAUAGAUAAGAAUCUUAAAAAUUUGCAAUGAACAGGUAAGAAAAGAAUUAUUCAAAUUAGGUAAGACUUAUAUUCAUACAGGUUUGCUUACUUUUGGAAUUAAAGCAACCCACAGAAAAGAUUUAAAUACUAAAUGUCUUGCAAUUUUAUAUGAUGGUAGAAAUGAGCAAGAUUUAAUACACUCGAUGAUUUGCAGCACGGAAGCUGACUUAUCAUAGUGCAGAGGUAUAUUUUAUGCAUCUCCAGGAAUGCUUAUGACAAUCAGAUAUUUUGCAAAGCAUUUUAAAUUAGCAAUCCUUACUAAAGGAUUUGAACAGUGGACUGAAGGUGAUAAUUUAAUUAUUACCAUAGGAUUCAUUGGAAAAGCAACCAAUGAUAUCAAUCACAGAUUCAAAGUCCAAACAGAUGAAGUAGUACAGGUGUUUGCGUCUAAGGGCAUUAAAAUGAUUAAGCCUUAUAGACUUUAUCCAAAAGAUUUAGCAGGACAAGAAUGGCCUAUCCAUCUCUUGAAAAACAGCUCAAAUCAGUUACUUCAACCUCAAGACUCUGUUAUGUACAAAGGUUUUGAUGGUCUUGAGUAUAUGCGUUUUAAAGAUUAUUUUUCAACACCAGCUCCUUUAGAAUCAGAUAUGCUUUCUGAAGAAUCAGAAGCUGAUAGACAGACCAGAUCAGUCCCUAUUAAUUACAGAAAUAUUUUAUAUUGUGAAAAAAUAGUCAAAAAAGCAGAAGAAUUUACAGACUUAAAAGAUGCAGAAUGGGAUGAUGAAAUCCUCCUGUAUCCAGUUGAACUAGGAUUAACAAAUAUGGACCUUCCAGACAUAGAAGAAGAAAUGUUUCAACAGGAAAAAUCCACGAUGAUCAAGAAUUAAAAAUGAUCAAUGGAUCAGUAUAUCUUGUUCAAAACAAAGAUAUUCAACAGUUUGGUGAAAUAGAUCUUGUUUUACCAGCUACCUCUAAUGAGGAAGUAAACAACAAUAAAAUUUCUCAGCUUGAAAAAUAUUUAUUACAAAAAUAUGAAGCGGAUGAGCAGAUAGAAACAGAUUUUAUAGCAGAAACAAGUUUUACAGAAAAUAUUUCUCACAAUACUUCUUAUUUUCAAAAAAUAAUUAACAAAGUUGAUACAGCUCCUAUUUCUAAAGUUGAUAUGUAUCCAGAAUAUUCAGGUUCCAAUUUUAUAGCUACAAGCUAUCAACCUCCAAAUGUAGCCACCACUCAGAAUAUAGGUAAUACUCCUCCGGUAAGAGUUCCUCCUCUUCAAGAAUAUCGUCCACAUUUUAAUUAUCCAACAGGUUCAAAUAUCCAACAUAAAGGAUGAAGAAUGAAUUAUGAUGGAUCAGUCAAACUACAAGAAGGUAGUGAAGGAGGUAAAAUUCUUAAUUUAGCAGAUCACCAUCCCCAAAAAUGGGAUCAGGUAUUAACUAUUUGGAAAGAUGUUGUUAUGGCUGAUUGCAUUAACCGAUAUCUUGAUUUAGAUACAGAACCCUUAUUUACUAUUUUAGAAACAUAUUUAGGUGUUACUACUAGAUUUAUUUAGGAAUCUUUUAAACAGGAUUUUCCCGCAGGAUAUGCCAGCAUAUUAGCCAAGGGUGCUAAUCCUCAUAAUUUUAUUAACAAAGUUUCAGAUUUGUGUACAGGACAUGACCCAAAUACAGGACGAGUUGAACAACAACUCCAAGCUCUUAUUAGGAAAUUAUUUUGACGAAGCUACUAGGUAUAAGUUUUUUAGAAAGCUUCCUCUUCCGUUAGGAAAUGAGAUAAUGCAGCGAUGGAAUCUUAAAGUCCAAAACCUACCAAAUAGAAAACAGAGUUUAGGCUCUGUGAUCCAGCAUACUCUCUCAAUAUUAGAAGAGAAAUGUACUAAUAUUGUUACAGCCAACCAAGUUAAAAAGACUAACUAUG